rnacentral:lncRNA from 1 species
AUGGCUACCCAACAGAGAACCUGGCCCGAAUUCUGUAGUCAUGCUGGUGUGGAAGAGCAAUUCAACUGGUGUCGGAGGAUUUCCAUUGACAUAAAUUUAGUGGUUGCAAGCUUCCUGCAGAACAAACAGGCUCCUACAUUGAGGAACUUUACAGGUAGCAAAAGGUUUUCACUCCCCCUCAUCAUUUCAUCAUUUCUACCAAAAGAACUGGAGAGCUGUGGUCAAUGGCAUCACUGA